GAGUCCUGUGUUUGGAGCACCAGAAAUAAACCAGCUUCAGAAGCAAACUCCCUCCCACCUCUAUUCUUCCUUUAGCCAAGAAGUACGGAUGGAUGAGAUUCUCCUCAGAGUUUUGGGACCGGGAAGAAUGAAGCUGUGGCUGUCAAAAAUGCCUGGUGGACCUAGCGGAUGACACCUAGACAGCAUGUUUGCUGCUGUCCUCUAUGCUGACCAAGCCUCUCCUCUGCAGAUUAAAACCCCUCCGGAUCAGAGCUAGCUCUAAACAGCACCUUGUCGGUUGAGAUUUUGAGCAACAGGGUCCUGCAAGGUGGGCAUAUUUGGCAGCCUGAAGGAGAGGUAGAAUAUUUGCCUAACCCCACAGCUAGUAAACCCAGGACAAAUGCAUCGGCAGCUUCUCAAGGCCAGGGAGAGAGAGCACACAUCUUGCCCUAGGAAAUUCACAGACACGCUGAAAUUUGAUGGGAACUGAUCUAGCCAAAUAGGAGGAGAUCAAUUGUUUGCUAGAAUCAACAGAUCUUCCUGUUUAGUUGCUCAGUAAAAUAUCCUUGCCUCUGGGCACAAUGCACCAAGCUGGAGGAUGCCAUCAAGGAGAAGUUCUUUGCCUGAUCUCAUUGACUUUUGAGCACUUUAAGCCUAAAGGGAGCAGGAACAAGAAGCGAGAGGAAAAGGUGAAGGUUAAAGAGAACUAUUUCGGAGAUAAUAAACUCCUUCUGAAUCCUGCCAAGGCUGGCUGCGCUGUUGUCUCAGAGGGAGAAGAAUAUCAACAUGGACUCCUGCCUGUGGUCUUGAAAUAGGCAAGUCACCAAGGGACAAAGACUGUUCUG
rnacentral:lncRNA from 1 species